rnacentral:rRNA from 1 species
AUUGAACGCUGGCGGCAUGAUUUACACAUGCAAGUCGAACGGUAACAGGCCGCAAGGUGCUGACGAGUGGCGAACGGAUGAGUAAUGCAUCGGAACGUGCCCAGUCGUGGGGGAUAACUACUCGAAAGAGUAGCUAAUACCGCAUACGAUCUAUGGAUGAAAGCGGGGGACCGUAAGGCCUCGCGCGAUUGGAGCGGCCGAUGUCAGAUUAGGUAGUUGGUGGGGUAAAGGCUCACCAAGCCAACGAUCUGUAGCUGGUCUGAGAGGACGACCAGCCACACUGGGACUGAGACACGGCCCAGACUCCUACGGGGGGCAGCAGUGGGGAAUUUUGGACAAUGGGCGCAAGCCUGAUCCAGCAAUGCCGCGUGCAGGAAGAAGGCCUUCGGGUUGUAAACUGCUUUUGUACGGAACGAAACGGCUCUGGUUAAUACCCGGGGCUAAUGACGGUACCGUAAGAAUAAGCACCGGCUAACUACGUG